CGGGAGAAGGCACGCUGACACGUAGGUGAAGUGAUUUACUCACGGAGCUGAAGUCAGUCGAAGAUACCAGCUGGCUGCAACUGUUUAUUAAAAACACAGCACUGUGCAAACACGAAAGUGGACGUAUACGGUGUGACGCCUGCCCGGUGCCGGAAGGUUAAUUGAUGGGGUCAGCGCAAGCGAAGCUCCUGAUCGAAGCCCCGGUAAACGGCGGCCGUAACUAUAACGGUCCUAAGGUAGCGAAAUUCCUUGUCGGGUAAGUUCCGACCUGCACGAAUGGCGUAAUGAUGGCCAGGCUGUCUCCACCCGAGACUCAGUGAAAUUGAACUCGCUGUGAAGAUGCAGUGUACCCGCGGCAAGACGGAAAGACCCCGUGAACCUUUACUAUAGCUUGACACUGAACAUUGAGCCUUGAUGUGUAGGAUAGGUGGGAGGCUUUGAAGUGUGGACGCCAGUCUGCAUGGAGCCGACCUUGAAAUACCACCCUUUAAUGUUUGAUGUUCUAACGUGGACCCGUUACCCGGGUUGCGGACAGUGUCUGGUGGGUAGUUUGACUGGGGCGGUCUCCUCCUAAAGAGUAACGGAGGAGCACGAAGGUUGGCUAAUCCUGGUCGGACAUCAGGAGGUUAGUGCAAUGGCAUAAGCCAGCUUGACUGCGAGCGUGACGGCGCGAGCAGGUGCGAAAGCAGGUCAUAGUGAUCCGGUGGUUCUGAAUGGAAGGGCCAUCGCUCAACGGAUAAAAGGUACUCCGGGGAUAACAGGCUGAUACCGCCCAAGAGUUCAUAUCGACGGCGGUGUUUGGCACCUCGAUGUCGGCUCAUCACAUCCUGGGGCUGAAGUAGGUCCCAAGGGUAUGGCUGUUCGCCAUUUAAAGUGGUACGCGAGCUGGGUUUAGAACGUCGUGAGACAGUUCGGUCCCUAUCUGCCGUGGGCGCUGGAGAACUGAGGGGGGCUGCUCCUAGUACGAGAGGACCGGAGUGGACGCAUCACUGGUGUUCGGGUUGUCAUGCCAAUGGCACUGCCCGGUAGCUAAAUGCGGAAGAGAUAAGUGCUGAAAGCAUCUAAGCACGAAACUUGCCCCGAGAUGAGUUCUCCCUGAGACUUUAGGUCUCCUGAAGGAACGUUGAAGACGACGACGUUGAUAGGCCGGGUGUGUAAGCGCAGCGAUGCGUUGAGCUAACCGGUACUAAUGAACCGUGAGGCUUAACCUU
rnacentral:rRNA from 1 species